GACGAACGCUGGCGGCGUGCUUAGCACAUGCAAGUCGAACGGAAAGGCCCUGCUUUUGUGGGGUGCUCGAGUGGCGAACGGGUGAGUAACACGUGAGUAACCUGCCCUUGACUUUGGGAUAACUUCAGGAAACUGGGGCUAAUACCGGAUAGGAGCUCCUGCUGCAUGGUGGGGGUUGGAAAGUUUCGGCGGUUGGGGAUGGACUCGCGGCUUAUCAGCUUGUUGGUGGGGUAGUGGCUUACCAAGGCUUUGACGGGUAGCCGGCCCGAGAGGGUGACCGGCCACAUUGGGACUGAGAUACGGCCCAGACUCCUACGGGAGGCAGCAGUGGGGAAUAUUGCACAAUGGGCGGAAGCCUGAUGCAGCAACGCCGCGUGCGGGAUGACGGCCUUCGGGUUGUAAACCGCUUUCGCCUGUGACGAAGCGUGAGUGACGGUAAUGGGUAAAGAAGCACCGGCUAACUACGUG
rnacentral:rRNA from 1 species